rnacentral:misc_RNA from 1 species
GCUUAUCAUUUGAGGAGCUCAGACGUCUGAUGAUGGAGUCCUUUUCAUUCAAACUGCAUUGAAGAUCUUCACACAUUUUUCUUGCCACACAGAUCUCCUCUGCCUUUUCACUGAGUUCUUGGGUCUGCUUCUCAAUUUUAGAGUUUGCCUGUUGAAUUUUAAUGAUUCGGUCGUUGUGAGCUUUCUUUAAAUUCUCUGACAGUUCUGCUUUGCAUUUUAAAUCUACCCUGAGCUUCUCAAUCUCAGCUUUAGCUUCAUCUAGCUCUUCACA